GUAUGAAAGAGAUCCCUGUGGUAUUUUCGGUGAUAAACAUUGUAUUUUCUUUUGGUUUUAACUUUGUAAACUAUACGAUCUAAGUGCCUUGGUUCCAAGACUAUUUACUCUCAAAAUCUCUGUUUUCAUCACACUUCUGAUGUUGCCGAUUUGAAUGUCUACGAAGACUGUGUUAUGAAGAAAUAUAUAUUUCCAUUUUUGUCAUGUACACUUGUUCUAUUGUAGCCUAUCUGUCUAGGUCAACGGAGCGAUUUUCCUCCAGUGGAAGAGGCUGUAGCGUAGGCAGUGGUAUAGUCUACGUUUUGAUGAUAUAAGAAGUUGGGGUUGGGGUUGGGGUUGAUGAUCCACAUGAUGGUGAUGGACCAGGACAGCUCUGGACCUCCUGACUGGCAGCUCCAUCCUCAACCUCCCUUCCUGUCCUUCACACAUGUGCAGGCAGAGAGGCAGUUUUCUGAAGGAUGGUUAAUGUCAGUACCAACAUGUUGUGAUGGAGGCUUCCACCUGAACUGAACACAGAAACUUGCACACAGUGAUGGAAGCAGUCGUUCCUGUUCAGCAUUGAUAUGCCGGUAAUGGGUUUGAUGAACCACAGCAUGGUGAUGGGCAAUCAGCAUCAGGACCAGGGCCGCUCACAAGGAGAACCUCCUGCCUUGCCUCUUCAUCCUCAACCUCCAAUCUUCCUGCUCUUCACACAUGUGCAGGCACAGAGCCAGUUUUCAGAGGGAGGGCUGAUGACACCAGCAACUUCGGAUCUGAACCUGAUCAACCCAGCACCAACCACUGUGCCGCUCCUCCUCUGCCAACUGCACCACAUGGCUCCACCAUCUCAAAAAGGCACAGACACUACUCCACUUCCUGCGAAGGAUGAGAGAAGAGCCGACCUCCCCACAACGGCACUCACCACCUUCUACAGGGGUGUCAUUGAGAGCAUCCUGACCAGCAGCCUCUCUGUCUGGCAUGGCAGCCGUCAAGCUGAAGACUAGAAGGCAGUACAGAGAGUGGUGAGGACAGCAGAAAAGCUCAUAAGAUCACCCCUACCUGUUCUCCCUACUACCAUCAGGGAAGCGCUAGCCCAGCAUGCGGUGCUGCAAAAGCACACUGGGAAACGGCUUCUUUCCACAAGCCAUCAGACUCCUCAACGCACUGAAGAAAACCACAUGAAUAACCAAGGACACGGGAGAAUAUUCCAUGAACACUUC